AUACGUAGGUGACAAGCGUUAUCCGGAUUUACUGGGCGUAAAGGGCGUGUAGGCGGUCUUGCAAGUCAGAAGUGAAAUUCCUGAGCUCAACUCGGGCGCUGCUUCUGAAACUGCAGGACUUGAGUGCUGGAGGGGAUAGCGGAAUUCCUAGUGGAGCGGUAAAAUGCGCAGAUAUUAGGAAGAACACCGGUGGCGAAGGCGGCUAUCUGGACAGUAACUGACGCUGAGGCGCGAAAGCGUGGGGAGCAAACAGGAUUAGAUACCCUGGUAGUCCGCACAGUAAACGAUGGACACUCGUGGUCGGCGACACACUGCCGGUCGCCAAGCGAAAGCGAUAAGUGUCCCUCCUGGGGAGUACGCCGGCAACGGUGAAACUCAAAUGAAUUGACGGGG
rnacentral:rRNA from 1 species